rnacentral:rRNA from 1 species
GAUGAACGCUGGCGGCGUGCCUAAUACAUGCCAGUCGAGCGAACAGACGAGGAGCUUGCUCCUCUGACGUUAGCGGCGGACGGGUGAGUAACACGUGGAUAACCUACCUAUAAGACUGGGAUAACUUCGGGAAACCGGAGCUAAUACCGGAUAAUAUAUUGAACCGCAUGGUUCAAUAGUGAAAGACGGUUUUGCUGUCACUUAUAGAUGGAUCCGCGCCGCAUUAGCUAGUUGGUAAGGUAACGGCUUACCAAGGCAACGAUGCGUAGCCGACCUGAGAGGGUGGUCGGCCACACUGGAACUGAGACACGGUCCAGACUCCUACGGGAGGCAGCAGUAGGGAAUCUUCCGCAAUGGGCGAAAGCUUGACGGAGCAACGCCGCGUGAGUGAUGAAGGUCUUCGGAUCGUAAAACUCUGUUAUUAGGGAAGAACAAAUGUGUAAGUAACUAUGCACGUCUUGACGGUACCUAAUCAGAAAGCCACGGCUAACUACGUG